AGAACGAACGCUGGCGGCGUGGAUAAGACAUGCAAGUCGAACGCGACUUAUUUUGUUAGCAAUAACAGAGUAAGUUGAGUGGCGAAAGGGUGCGUAACACGUGGGAAUUUACCAAGAAGUGGGGAAUAGCUCGACGAAAGUCGAAUUAAUACCGCAUGUGAUCGAAAGAUCAAAGUCGGGGACCGCAAGGCCUGACGCUUUUUGAGAAGCCCGCGGCCCAUCAGCUAGUUGGUGAGGUAAAGGCUCACCAAGGCUAUGACGGGUAGCUGGUCUGAGAGGACGACCAGCCACACUGGAACUGAGACACGGUCCAGACACCUACGGGUGGCAGCAGUCGAGAAUUUUUCACAAUGGACGAAAGUCUGAUGGAGCGACGCCGCGUGGAGGAUGAAGGUUCUUGGAUUGUAAACUCCUGUCACUGCAGAACAAGGCUACACAUGUGAAUAGCGCGUGUAGUUG
rnacentral:rRNA from 1 species